rnacentral:rRNA from 1 species
CGGGGGGAGCAAGCGUUGUUCGGAUUUACUGGGCGUAAAGGGCGCGUAGGCGGCCAGCGCAAGUCAGUUGUGAAAUCUCCGAGCUUAACUCGGAAAGGUCAACUGAUACUGCGCGGCUAGAGUGCGGAAGGGGCAACUGGAAUUCUUGGUGUAGCGGUGAAAUGCGUAGAUAUCAAGAGGAACACCUGCGGCGAAGGCGGGUUGCUGGGCCGACACUGACGCUGAGGCGCGAAAGCUAGGGGAGCGAACGGGAUUAGAUACCCCGGUAGUCCUAGCCUUAAACGAUGAAUGCUUGGUGUCUGGGGUUAUAUAGUCCCCGGGUGCCGUCGCUAACGCUUUAAGCAUUCCGCCAGGGGAGUACGGUCGCAAGACUG